UAAAACCACUCUGUGUGGGGAAGAUGAGAGCCAGAGCAAAGGUCAGAGGAUCCAUCAGAGACCAGAACCAGAACCAGAACCAGAACCCAGCUGUGUGUCCUUUAAGAGCGACAGGUCAAAGGGUGAACCCAUUGACUUUAAAUCUCCUGGAUCUCCACCAUCAGAGAGGUGAGCUGUUUCUAAUUGCUGUAACUAUGGAAACUGAACCAGUAAGAACUCAG